rnacentral:lncRNA from 1 species
CGCCAGGCAGCCACGUGGCAGUGGGAGCCAGGCUGGAGUCCGCUGGUGGAAGACAGGACACAGGCUGGAAAGUGCCUUCCAACACCACCCAGCCACCACGGCCAGGCUGGAAGGACAGCACACCCCAGCCACUCAGGAGUCACUUCGGACAGCCCACCUAGGGGCUUAAGUCCCAGUGGGACAUGCCCACCCAGGCUGCCUCAGCUGCCCACGGGGCCUCCAACCACAGCCACAGGCUCCACAGGUAUGACCACCCUGCCCAACUCAGUCCGCUUGGGCCAUCCAGUUGGCCGCAGAGCAGAAGGAUGGCGAUCAAACCACAGAACAGAGUAUGUGGACAGGUGGGCGGGGCACUGCAGAGUGGAGGGUGGACCUGGAGGGUGCCUGGGAAUCCACACACACCAAGGCUGGACCUCACAAGAGGAGGGGCGGGCACGCUACACUCUGAAGUCUGAAUCGUCCCUGGCCAGCCUGUGGCUGCUCUCACCUUUCCUUUGCUGCAGUGUGUGUCAAACACAUGAAUGAAUGAGCAAAUGAGUGAAUCAGUCCCUGCCACCAGACCCCACAGGGUUACAUCAAGGCCACCGAGGCUCAGCCGGGACAGGACUGGCCGGUAUCACACAAUCGGUGGGGGGAGGGCAUCACACCCGGACUUCUGCACACAGGGCCUCUUUGCCAGAGGCUGGGCUGGAGCUCGACCCCAGGGCCACCUGGCUCACCUCAUCUGUCCCCAUAGCCACCUUUCAGUCCCCACCAUGGCCACCAUCCCCUUGUCCCCCACCUCCGUCCCCACAGCCACCCUGCCCACGGAGUUGAUCGCUUGAUUAAGCGCAGCAUUUCAGUGCCCAGGGAGAAAAAUCAAUUCGCUUGGUUCCACUUUAAUCCAUCAGUUCCAUUUCUGAUAAAUGUCCCCGUGCUGGAGUCACCAUGUAGCCGCAGUGCCCCGCAGAGAUUAGCUGCUAGGUCAGGGCAGCCAGGGCGAGCAUCUGGCGAGCUGGGGCAAGCCUGGACCCUCAACUUGCCGUGACUCCCCACCCCUCUUCCCAGCACUUUACAUGGUGGUAAGUGUGGGUACAGAGGUCAGAGCCCAGCUCUGGCCCCACCUGCCAGGGCCUGGAUGAGCCCAGCUCCCAAGCUGCGAGCUGGUGACAUUGUGGGGCUGGGAUUAAAUGGGAUCUGCGGCUGCCAGGCUGGGCUUCUCAGGAAUGAGCUGGCACUGGAGGACGAGUGGAUUAGACGCGAGGUCAAUAUUUGUGGAAUUGAAUUGAAUCUGUCACUUGGGGCGUGUAUGUUCCAGGUAAUUUUGUGGUUUCUGCCUCUGGCAGGAAAACCCAACACGAUGACUGCCCCUCGCAGGCCACAGUCAGCCCGGCCCCAGGAGAGAGACCCGUGGAGCCCUAUGUCUCAGCAGGCAAGGUAGGGGGACGGGGCAGGGGCAGGGAGGUCCCCGAGUGCUGGCCAGGGGAGGAAUCUGCAGUGGUUGCCGGCUAAGGAGGGUCUGCCCUGGCCCCUGGGGCAUGGAGGCCCCACAGCCAGGCCCCACCCCCAGCUCCUGGGACCUGCUGGCCUUUUAGGAGACGGGGGAGGCUGGGCCUGACCUCUCUGCAGGUGGUGUCACUGCAGGGCCACACUGCACUGUGCUGGUUGUUGUCCAGGGUGGGCAGAUAGAGGGAUGUGGACGGUGGGAGCCAGGGGAAGGGCAGAAGGGGACACUGGGCCACCCUGGAGAAGCCAGGUCAGGGCUGGCCCAGCAGGAUGGGGGCUCUCUGCCUCUAUGGCCAGCAUUCCCAGCUGAGUCCCCAACUCUGCAGCCAGGAAGCCCCGUAGUGUGAAGGAUGGGGACAUCGCGAUGCCCUGGCCCUGAGCCCACCAGGUGGCCCCAGGGCCCCACCCUGCCUGGCUCUUCCUGCAUGGGUCUGGGGUGAUGGGGGCUCAUCUGAGGCCCAGUGCUGCCCACCUCGAAUCCCCAAAUCCCAAAUUGGAUUAGUUGUGUUUAGAAAGCAGCAAAGCUGCUAUAUUUGAGCAAAGGCUCAGCAGAUUACCCUGGGCCAAGAGGGUGUCUGCCUGUGUGAGGGGGAUUUGAGGAGGAAAAACUGCACUAAACAAGUGUUCAUUGAAAAGAAACUUGGGGGAUCAUCUGAGUCAGC